GACGAACGCUGGCGGCGUGCUUAACACAUGCAGGUCGAACGGAAAGGCCCUGCUUUUGUGGGGUGCUCGAGUGGCGAACGGGUGAGUAACACGUGAGUAACCUGCCCUUGACUUUGGGAUAACUUCAGGAAACUGGGGCUAAUACCGGAUAGGAGCUCCUGCUGCAUGGUGGGGGUUGGAAAGUUUCGGCGGUUGGGGAUGGACUCGCGGCUUAUCAGCUUGUUGGUGGGGUAGUGGCUUACCAAGGCUUUGACGGGUAGCCGGCCUGAGAGGGUGACCGGCCACAUUGGGACUGAGAUACGGCCCAGACUCCUACGGGAGGCAGCAGUGGGGAAUAUUGCACAAUGGGCGGAAGCCUGAUGCAGCAACGCCGCGUGCGGGAUGACGGCCUUCGAGUUGUAAACCGCUUUCGCCUGUGACGAAGCGUGAGUGACGGUAAUGGGUAAAGAAGCACCGGCUAACUACGUG
rnacentral:rRNA from 1 species